CUGAGGCGUGAUGACGAGGCACUACGGUGCUGAAGCAACAAAUGCCCUGCUUCCAGGAAAAGCCUCUAAGCAUCAGGUAACACGAAAUCGUACCCCAAACCGACACAGGUGGUCAGGUAGAGAAUACCAAGGCGCUUGAGAGAACUCGGGUGAAGGAACUAGGCAAAAUGGUGCCGUAACUUCGGGAGAAGGCACGCUGACAUGUAGGUGAAGUGAUUUACUCAUGGAGCUGAAGUCAGUCGAAGAUACCAGCUGGCUGCAACUGUUUAUUAAAAACACAGCACUGUGCAAACACGAAAGUGGACGUAUACGGUGUGACGCCUGCCCGGUGCCGGAAGGUUAAUUGAUGGGGUCAGCGCAAGCGAAGCUCCUGAUCGAAGCCCCGGUAAACGGCGGCCGUAACUAUAACGGUCCUAAGGUAGCGAAAUUCCUUGUCGGGUAAGUUCCGACCUGCACGAAUGGCGUAAUGAUGGCCAGGCUGUCUCCACCCGAGACUCAGUGAAAUUGAACUCGCUGUGAAGAUGCAGUGUACCCGCGGCAAGACGGAAAGACCCCGUGAACCUUUACUAUAGCUUGACACUGAACAUUGAGCCUUGAUGUGUAGGAUAGGUGGGAGGCUUUGAAGUGUGGACGCCAGUCUGCAUGGAGCCGACCUUGAAAUACCACCCUUUAAUGUUUGAUGUUCUAACGUGGACCCGUAAUCCGGGUUGCGGACAGUGUCUGGUGGGUAGUUUGACUGGGGCGGUCUCCUCCUAAAGAGUAACGGAGGAGCACGAAGGUUGGCUAAUCCUGGUCGGACAUCAGGAGGUUAGUGCAAUGGCAUAAGCCAGCUUGACUGCGAGCGUGACGGCGCGAGCAGGUGCGAAAGCAGGUCAUAGUGAUCCGGUGGUUCUGAAUGGAAGGGCCAUCGCUCAACGGAUAAAAGGUACUCCGGGGAUAACAGGCUGAUACCGCCCAAGAGUUCAUAUCGACGGCGGUGUUUGGCACCUCGAUGUCGGCUCAUCACAUCCUGGGGCUGAAGUAGGUCCCAAGGGUAUGGCUGUUCGCCAUUUAAAGUGGUACGCGAGCUGGGUUUAGAACGUCGUGAGACAGUUCGGUCCCUAUCUGCCGUGGGCGCUGGAGAACUGAGGGGGGCUGCUCCUAGUACGAGAGGACCGGAGUGGACGCAUCACUGGUGUUCGGGUUGUCAUGCCAAUGGCACUGCCCGGUAGCUAAAUGCGGAAGAGAUAAGUGCUGAAAGCAUCUAAGCACGAAACUUGCCCCGA
rnacentral:rRNA from 1 species